GCCUGGCUGGUUCAGUCGGUAAAGCAUGGGAUUCUUGGUCUCAUGGUCGUGAGUUCAAGCCCCACGCUGGGCA
rnacentral:tRNA from 1 species